rnacentral:misc_RNA from 1 species
CCGAGUUUACAACUCCCAAACCCCUGUGAACAUACCAAUUGUUGCCUCGGCGGAUCAGCCCGCUCCCGGUAAAACGGGACGGCCCGCCAGAGGACCCCUAAACUCUGUUUCUAUAUGUAACUUCUGAGUAGAACCAUAAAUAAAUCA